GAUGAACGCUGGCGGUAUGCUUAACACAUGCAAGUCGAACGGACUCUUCGGAGUUAGUGGCGGACGGGUGAGUAACGCGUGAGAAUCUGGCUUUGGGUUCGGGACAACCACUGGAAACGGUGGCUAAUACCGGAUGUGCCGAGAGGUAAAAGAGAAAUUGCCUGAAGAUGAGCUCGCGUCUGAUUAGCUAGUUGGUGAGGUAAAGGCUCACCAAGGCAGCGAUCAGUAGCUGGUCUGAGAGGAUGACCAGCCACACUGGGACUGGGACACGGCCCAGACUCCUAAGGGAGGCAGCAGUGGGGAAUUUUCCGCAAUGGGCGAAAGCCUGACGGAGCAAUACCGCGUGAGGGAAGAAGGCUCUUGGGUUGUAAACCUCUUUUCUUAGGGAAGAACAAAAUGACGGUACCUAAGGAAUCAGCAUCGGCUAACUCCGUG
rnacentral:rRNA from 1 species